UGAGCCGCUACCUGCAGAGCUAAGCGCUGCCCCACAGAAGGUAAUGUGCCGUAGUGGUACAGACAGCCUCAUCAUGGACAUAAGAUUGUUUUUUCGAAGAAAAGAGCCAGGUUCAGUCCAAAGAGGGAGAGACGAAAAAGGGGAAGGAGAGGAGAGAGUGCAAAGUCAGGAAGAACCAGGAAGAGAACAAGGAGAGACUCUGGGAGAUGAGAGCGUGCAGACUAGGGAAAGAAAUGCUGUGCAUCACAUUUCAAAUAAAAGUCAAAAAAUAAG